rnacentral:lncRNA from 1 species
GAACCCGUUGUCCUAGCGUGUUAUGGGUCAAAAAUCGAUAGGGCAUCCCAGGAAGGUUAGGGAUCAUCAUAGUGUGGUCCGUUUCAAUAUUCGUGACCAUUUGGGCAGAUAAGAGGGCAAAACGAUGUGAAAGGGGUAUUUUUAGGCUAAAUUGGUGUGGUAUAGCCCACAGUUCUAGGGGUGGGCCCGAGUUUCGGGCGUGCUAUG